UUUGUCAGUGCAUCCCAAAGGGUUCUUAACCUGUGGGUAAAACGGAUGCAGUGGGUGGGAUGAAGAGACCAACUUCUCUGCUCAGUUCCUCUUGAUCUUUGAAAAUGUUCCAGUCUCAGAAAAGUAAGUGCUUUGUGUUCCACUGCCUAGCAGGUUCCCAUGGGACUGGGGAUUUGAUAGUUCUAUUCCCUGAAC
rnacentral:sRNA from 1 species